rnacentral:rRNA from 1 species
CAGGACGACGCUGGCGGCGUGCCUAACACAUGCAAGUCGAGCGAAGAACUUCGGUCUAGCGGCGGACGGGUGAGUAACACGUGGGUAACCUGCCUCAAAGAGGGGGAUAGCCUCCCGAAAGGGAGAUUAAUACCGCAUAACAUUAGAUCUUCGCAUGGAGAUUUAAUUAAGGAGCAAUCCGCUUUGAGAUGGACCCGCGGCGCAUUAGCUAGUUGGUGAGGUAACGGCUCACCAAGGCGACGAUGCGUAGCCGACCUGAGAGGGUGAUCGGCCACAUUGGAACUGAGACACGGUCCAGACUCCUACGGGAGGCAGCAGUGGGGAAUAUUGCACAAUGGGCGAAAGCCUGAAUGCAGCAACGCCGCGUGAGUGAUGAAGGCCUUCGGGUUGUAAAACUCUGUCUUUGGGGACGAUAAUGACGGUACCCAAGGAGGAAGCCACGGCUAACUACGUGCCAGCCGCCGC